UACGUAGGGUGCAAGCGUUGUCCGGAAUUAUUGAGCGUAAAGAGCUCGUAGGCGGUUUGUUGCGUCGGCUGUGAAAUCCCGAGGCUCAACCUCGGGUCUGCAGUCGAUACGAGCAAACUAGAGUGUUGCAGGGGAGACUGGAAUUCCUGGUGUAGCGGUGAAAUGCGCAGAUAUCAGGAGGAACACCGAUGGCGAAGGCAGGUCUCUGGGCCGAUACUGACGCUGAGGAGCGAAAGCGUGGGGAGCGAACAGG
rnacentral:rRNA from 1 species